rnacentral:rRNA from 1 species
AAAUUGAAGAGUUUGAUCAUGGCUCAGAUUGAACGCUGGCGGCAGGCCUAACACAUGCAAGUCGAACGGUAACAGGAAGCAGCUUGCUGCUUYGCUGACGAGUGGCGGACGGGUGAGUAAUGUCUGGGAAACUGCCUGAUGGAGGGGGAUAACUACUGGAAACGGUAGCUAAUACCGCAUAACGUCGCAAGACCAAAGAGGGGGACCUUCGGGCCUCUUGCCAUCGGAUGUGCCCAGAUGGGAUUAGCUAGUAGGUGGGGUAACGGCUCACCUAGGCGACGAUCCCUAGCUGGUCUGAGAGGAUGACCAGCCACACUGGAACUGAGACACGGUCCAGACUCCUACGGGAGGCAGCAGUGGGGAAUAUUGCACAAUGGGCGCAAGCCUGAUGCCAAGCCUGAUGC